rnacentral:rRNA from 1 species
UACAGAGGUCCCAAGCGUUGUUCGGAUUCAUUGGGCGUAAAGGGUGCGUAGGUGGCGCCGUAAGUCGGGUGUGAAAUUUCGGAGCUUAACUCCGAAACUGCAUUCGAUACUGCGGUGCUUGAGGACUGGAGAGGAGACUGGAAUUCAUGGUGUAGCAGUGAAAUGCGUAGAGAUCAUGAGGAAGACCAGUGGCGAAGGCGGGUCUCUGGACAGUUCCUGACACUGAGGCACGAAAGCUAGGGGAGCAAACAGG